rnacentral:lncRNA from 1 species
CUUUUCCACGGGAGUUUUCUCCUGUCGGUGUUUUGUAGCUUUUUUCACGCUUGCAGCUCUCCUCUUCCCCCCCCGCCCUCCUUUUUCCACUUUCCAGACAAGUACUGCAUCUGUUUCUGUGGCAUCAAUCGUGGGUCUUUAUAUCGUUUAUUCUAGUUGCUAUCGGCAAACGCGUCUAGAGGCCGUUCUGGCGAGAACACGCAAAGCUCUGGAUCUGGCAAAAUGAGAUCGCUCCUUCUUUCUCUCCCCCUCCUGCCCGCCCCACCGUGUCACAUCUAGGGCACAUCCAGCAGCAGCGACCCCUCACUACUUUUGUUUAGCAACCUCCGGAGCUAGUGGCCAUUUCCUUUGUCUCCCAAUAGUGAUUAAUUCCUAUUUACUCCUUGCUCUGCAAAACUAAAUCUCUAACUGGCGCCUUGAAAUCGCAGGACCUUUUAGCUUCUCUUUUUUUCUUUCUUCAGUAUCGUCUUCGGUAAGCAAAUACAAAGGGAAGCGAAGUUAAGGGACAAAAAGCCCUAUUAAGGGGGAUGAAUCGGGGCUGAUUUGCUGGAAUUGCGCCUCUGUGGUCCAAUGUAAGGCGUUUGCACAAGGAGUUGUCUCAAAACUGCAACAUCUUUUUCCCCCAGAACAGACAUCUCUGGGAGACAGAAGUUUUCCCCGCCCCCAACUCCCCUCCAUUCCUUUCCCGAGCUUUUAAAACCCACAGAAGAAAAAAAAAAAGAAAGAAAGAAAAAACCUCCCCCGCUGAACUGCACAGAAUGAGCUCACCCAAAUCUCGGUAGGCAGUAGUGGAGGAGUCGUAGUCCAAUCAGCAGCUUUUCUUCGAAAGCCUGGCGUGCAUUGGUCGAGGGGGAAAUCAAUUAUCAAAUAAUCGAUCAGCAGGGAGCUUCGAUCGGCGGGCAGUGAACCCCCCCAUCCCCUCAGCCUUGUUAUUACGGAACCCAAGUUGGCAAUGCCGAAAGAUUUGUUCGUUCCUCGGAGUCUGUGUUCUGGCUCAGGCCUGUAUGUAACGCGCAGCAACAAGAAAAGCAAAGUUCUGCGAAGUUAGAUGGCGGCUCCCACCAAGAACUUCCCGGGCCGGAGGAGUCUUUUCUAGAGCUUUCUAAAUCAAAUGGGUGCAGAAUAGGACUUUGUGCAGCCCCGUCUAAUUGCAUCUUUACUCAAACGUAAAUCCUAAUGAGUUUAAUGGGGCUUGUUCCUAAGUAAGUAUCCACCGAACUGCAUCCUUAAUCUGCCUGAACUGUCAAGUUUAAGAGAGGGUUGAAACCAUCCCCUCCCGGGUACAAACCAUGAGCCAUUUACUGUAGAGUUCUCCCGGUGAUAGCUAAAGGUUAUGCCAAUAUAAGCGGUCACGC